AUUGAACGCUGGCGGUAUGCUUAACACAUGCAAGUCGAACGGUAACAGGCCUUCGGGCGCUGACGAGUGGCGGACGGGUGAGUAACGCGUAGGAAUCUGCCUCAUAGUGGGGGACAACGUGUGGAAACGCACGCUAAUACCGCAUACGCCCUACGGGGGAAAGCGGGGGACCUUCGGGCCUCGCGCUAUGAGAUGAGCCUGCGUUAGAUUAGCUAGUUGGUAGGGUAAAGGCCUACCAAGGCGACGAUCUAUAGCUGGUCUGAGAGGACGAUCAGCCACACUGGGACUGAGACACGGCCCAGACUCCUACGGGAGGCAGCAGUGGGGAAUAUUGGACAAUGGGCGCAAGCCUGAUCCAGCAAUACCGCGUGUGUGAAGAAGGCCCUAGGGUUGUAAAGCACUUUCAAUAGGGAGGAAAACCUGUCGGUCAAUACCCGGCAGCUUGACAUUACCUAUACAAGAAGCACCGGCUAACUCCGUGCCAGCCGCCGCGGUAAUAC
rnacentral:rRNA from 1 species